rnacentral:rRNA from 1 species
UGGGGAAUAUUGCACAAUGGGGGAAACCCUGAUGCAGCGACGCCGCGUGAGCGAAGAAGUAUUUCGGUAUGUAAAGCUCUAUCAGCAGGGAAGAAGAAUGACGGUACCUGACUAAGAAGCACCGGCUAAAUACGUGCCAGCAGCCGCGGUAAUACGUAUGGUGCAAGCGUUAUCCGGAUUUACUGGGUGUAAAGGGAGCGCAGGCGGUACGGCAAGUCUGAUGUGAAAGCCCGGGGCUCAACCCCGGUACUGCAUUGGAAACUGUCGGACUAGAGUGUCGGAGGGGUAAGUGGAAUUCCUAGUGUAGCGGUGAAAUGCGUAGAUAUUAGGAGGAACACCAGUGGCGAAGGCGGCUUUCUGGACGACAACUGACGCUGAGGCGCGAAAGCGUGGGGAGCAAACAGGAUUAGAUACCCUGGUAGU